rnacentral:sRNA from 1 species
AGCAGCCGCGGUAAUUCCAGCUCCAAUAGCGUAUAUUAAAGUUGUUGCAGUUAAAAAGCUCGUAGUUGAAUUUCGGGACCAAUAUGUUGGUCGUGCCUCGGUACGCACUGGCAUUAUUGGUUUCUCCCUUCUGACGAACUACGAUGCCAUUAAUUUGGUGUCGUAGGGAAUCAGGACUGUUACUUUGAAAAAUUAGAGUGUUUAAAGCAGGCUCGCGCUUGAAUACAUUAGCAUGGAAUAAUGAAAUAGGACGUUUGAUUCUAUUUUGUUGGUUUCUAGGAUCGACGUAAUGAUUAAUAGGGAUAGUUGGGGGCAUUAGUAUUCAAUUGUCAAAGGUGAAAUUCUUGGAUUUAUUGAAGACUA